AAAUAUGAAACUUUAAAUCUAGCCUCAUAAAAAUAUUUCUGACUUAUCCUCCAAUUUUCAUAAUUUUCUGAGACUAUGCAUUUUCUGCUAAUUUGUCUAUCCCGUUUUCAACAAAAAAUUCUAGAUCUUCUGUUUUCAUUCCGAUUUCAGCACAAGUCACUUCUGACUUAUGUUUUACUCCUACAAAUUCAAUAAAAAUAGUUUUUCACACUAUUUUUUUUAUUUUUAUUUUUAUACUAAAAUCUGAUAUGUUACAACCAAAAUCCUCAAAGACCAGUAAUCAAGCUAUCUCAAAGCUCUAUACAUUAAAUUCCAUCAAUUAUACCAAUUUCAGCACUAAAGCUUAAUUUAAUCCCUAUCAUAAUGUCAAAACUCACCUAAUUACCUCCAAAUCAGGUGAGGAAG
rnacentral:lncRNA from 1 species